rnacentral:tRNA from 1 species
GGACGUAUAGCUCAGUGGGAGAGCACUGUCCUGACUCGACAGGGGUCGCAAGUUCAAUCCUUGCUACGUCCACCA